rnacentral:lncRNA from 1 species
UCAUUUUUGAUGCAUUUUAUUUUAUUUUAUUGCAUUUUUAUAUUUGUUUGACCUUUGUUGACUUCUGUUGGUCUUGGAUCAUUGUUGUUUUGAUCAUAGGUCUCAUCAAACUCAACAGAUCUUGGGUAUUGAUGGGGUGAAAACCCUAAUCCACCAAAAUAGAUGAUUGAUUUUGAUGAUGACUUGAUCAAACCUUUGAUCCAAU